AUGCUUACCGCGGAAAGACAAGACCAGAUCACAGGGUGAUCUAGAUGAUGCGCAAGACAACCAUGUGGUGUGAUGGAGAACCAGAAUCAGCAGUCUGCAGAGCCUGCAAAGUUGCUCUCGAGGCCAAGCUGUGAAAUGUGUUUGAAAGUGUUGAAUUUGAGUUCCUUCAGAUAUGGAAAUUGUUAGAGCUGGAAUCCAAAUCCAGGUCUGGCCCACUCCAGAACAAAAGCUCCUAACCAUUAAGUGACACUGGCUCACCAGAAGGUCAAGGCGGCUGUGUCUGUGUGUGUUUCUUGGGGAAGUAGGGCCCAUUGGGAACAAUGCCACCGCCAUCAGACAUUGUCAAAGUAGCCAUUGAGUGGCCAGGUGCUAAUGCUCAGCUCCUUGAAAUCGACCAGGUGAGCUCCUGAAAGGAGAAGCAGAAGCAGCGAUGCAGGACGGGGGAGCUGGGAAGUGCACGGCAAGGGGUGUCUUCAGGGGUGGGGGCCUUUGGCAUCAGGAGUAAGAACCAGCAACAGGAAGGUCAAGGCCUGUCCCGCCCCAUGGAAGGUCAGUCCCCCCGGCUUGGGAGAGGUUUUCUCUCCAACAGAAGCUAUCAGGGAGGCAGGCCCCAGGUUGAUCCUCCUUGGCAGCCCCUCUGGCAUGAGUAGCAUGUGGUUGCAGGU